GACGAACGCUGGCGGCGUGCUUAACACAUGCAAGUCGAACGGAAAGGCCCCCUUGUGGGGUACUCGAGUGGCGAACGGGUGAGUAACACGUGAGUAACCUACCCUUGACUUUGGGAUAACUUCAGGAAACUGGGGCUAAUACCGGAUAGGAGCUCCUGCUGCAUGGUGGGGGUUGGAAAGUUUCGGCGGUUGGGGGUGGACUCGCGGCUUAUCAGCUUGUUGGUGGGGUAGUGGCUCACCAAGGCUUUGACGGGUAGCCGGCCUGAGAGGGUGACCGGCCACAUUGGGACUGAGAUACGGCCCAGACGCGUACGGGAGGCAGCAGUGGGGAAUAUUGCACAAUGGGCGGAGGCGUGAUGCAGCAACGCCGCGUGCGGGAUGACGGCCUUCGGGUUGUAAACCGCUUUCGCCUGUGACGAAGCGUGAGUGACGGUAAUGGGUAAAGAAGCACCGGCUAACUACGUG
rnacentral:rRNA from 1 species